UACGUAGGGUGCAAGCGUUGCCCGGAUUUAUUGGGCGUAAAGGGCGCGUAGGCGGCUCGGCACGUCCGUUGUGAAAUCGCCCGGCUCAACUGGGCGGGGUCAGCGGAUACGGCCGAGCUUGAGCAAGCUAGGGGGCAAUGGAAUUCCCGGUGUAGCGGUGAAAUGCGUAGAUAUCAGGAGGAACACCGGUGGCGAAGGCGGCCCUCUGGACGGUGACUGACGCUGAGACGCGAAAGCGUGGGGAGCAAACAGG
rnacentral:rRNA from 1 species